GGUCCGCCACUGGUUGGGUAAUU
rnacentral:siRNA from 1 species